AAAUUGAAGAGUUUGAUCAUGGCUCAGAUUGAACGCUGGCGGCAGGCCUAACACAUGCAAGUCGAACGGUAACAGGAAGCAGCUUGCUGCUUUGCUGACGAGUGGCGGACGGGUGAGUAAUGUCUGGGAAACUGCCUGAUGGAGGGGGAUAACUACUGGAAACGGUGGCUAAUACCGCAUAACGUCGCAAGACCAAAGAGGGGGACCUUCGGGCCUCUUGCCAUCAGAUGUGCCCAGAUGGGAUUAGCUGGUUGGUGAGGUAACGGCUCACCAAGGCGACGAUCCCUAGCUGGUCUGAGAGGAUGACCAGCCACACUGGAACUGAGACACGGUCCAGACUCCUACGGGAGGCAGCAGUGGGGAAUAUUGCACAAUGGGCGCAAGCCUGAUGCAGCCAUGCCGCGUGUAUGAAGAAGGCCUUCGGGUUGUAAAGUACUUUCAGCGGGGAGGAAGGUGUUGUGGUUAAUAACCGCAGCAAUUGACGUUACCC
rnacentral:rRNA from 1 species